GCCCGUCACUUCUUGUUCAACUAAACAAAGUUGCACAAAAACCACUCAGUUCAAGUACUUUGCUCAGAUCUCAUCACAAUGAAGUUGGGCAUGUCCGUCGUUGCUGUCCUGAUUUUUGUCAACAUGUGCAUCUGCAUGCCAAGGAACAUGGCGGACGAUGCAUCUUACGGUAGAACUGUGCCACAGAGGGAAAUCCGCAAACUGAUUGCAGGAACUGAUGGUAGGAACGGUCCUCCCAGCAAUGAUCAUCAGUGCCCGCUUGGGACCUACCCUAAUUGUCAGGGCAUGUCUCAAAACACCAAGGAAACAGCUCAAGAUGUUCGUGGAAAUUGAGCAUGUCACCGCUGACCUUGGAACAUGAAGAUUCAUGAAAAAGAAAUUAGCCCCAAAUUUCUGACGGAUGUAAUUUUUCAUGCUACUUUCUUGCCAUGUCGAAGGCUGUAUUGCCAUGCAUGCUUAACAAGACUAGCGUUAUGCUUAACUUUUCAAUAGUAUUUCAAUGUUUAUGUUCAUAUAUAGAAACUUAGAUGAGCACUAUACUUCUUCAAGCUCAAGAAUUUGUAUAUGUGCUGUCGCAUUGUCAAGUCCAAUAAUUGUAUUUGUAUAUAAAUAUGCAUGCUGUCCCAGUAGUAUCAUGCGCGUAUAAUAUCAUGAGCACUUGGACAUGUCUUCCAAGUGUGGUGCGUCAUGUCAAGAGCUGCUUAUUUGAAGUCUCCA